rnacentral:lncRNA from 1 species
AACCUAGACAUGGCUUCUUUCAGCUGUAGGCAUACUUGUGGCAAAGCUUACUGCAGAAUCCCUCCAAGGCUAAUGGUGAAUUUCCAUAGCAACAGACAGUGAUACCACUAACAAGAUUACAUCCCAUUCAGGCAGGGGAUACCUGAUGCACAAAACCUACUCUGAGGAAGAAUGGCAAAAGGAGCCCGGGGGUGCUGCUGCUGGCCAUGAGCUUAUAUUGGUGACUCGUCCUCACACUCCUGGCCAUCAACGGGCUGCCCUUCUGCCACCUCCACCAGCACUGCCUCUGCUGCUUGCUGGGCUGAAAGGCCUUGGUCACAUCUGUGUGAUGUCACUGCCCUGCACCCCGUCAAAGAAAAUGGCAUCGCAUCCGCACCACCAGGAGACUCCCGUCCUCUUGUCACCCACUCCCCCGGAGCAGGUCUCGGAGCUCCGCCGGGAGGGAAAUGACCGCUUUCAGGCUGGGUGCCACGAGGAGGCUCUGGCCGCUUACACAUGUGUCCUCAGCUUCUGUCCGUCUGCAGUGGAGCCCAGUCCACAACGCGCCGUUCUCUACCGCAACCAGGCCGCCUACCAUCUCAAGCUUGUGUGUCGCUUGCCAAGGGGGCGGUUAGCAAAGGUCGGUGAAGGGAACGAGGGGCCUAGACAGGGAAAGGGAUGCUGUGCUGGUGGGCUACCCUUCCACAUCCUUGGCAGUCUAAAGUAACUUGGCAGUGUGGCACAGCGCUUGCACGAAUCAGCUGUGUGGGAGUUUGUGCUUAUGGGGGGGUUUCUGUCUCCAUGGCC